AUAUAACGCAUCUGUUCCCGCAGACAGUCGCUUGAUUCCUGCAGACACAACUGCAAAAAGACAGAAAGACAGAUCUGUGGUGGUAAAGGACAAAGCAGGAUCGAACUGCAGUGGUCUGAAGGUCGUGAGGGUAUUCCUUUGACUUCCUUUUUUCCAUGCAGAACCAAGGGUCUGAUGUUUCCGUGUACAGAAUCUGUUCAAGCAAAUCCAAACAUUUCCUCCACCUAGAUUUGUCUCCCUCUUGUGACUGAAAUGUCAAACACAUCUUAAGACACUUGUGACAUGCUAAGAACAGCAAACGUUUUUUUUUUUUUUUUUUUUCAUUCUUUUGAUUUAAUGGUUUUUUGAUGGUGUCAUCAGGACAGCAUAUAAUCUGGAUUUGGAAACUGAGAGCUCAUCAACCCAGAUUGUUCACUUGGUUUGAGUCUUUAGUACAGGGGUCACCAGACACGGUCCUGGAGGCCGGUUAGAUCCCCAACGUGGAACAUCGUAGUUGUGGUGUAAGCAGUUGAAUGAGACUGGCCCUUUAAAUCCCUCCAGCUGCCCAUCUCAGGCAUCUCCGGAUGAGACUCGGGUUUCACCAAUGAUCCAAUCAGAGGUGAGAUCAUAUGGAUCAUUCCAAUUUAAAUGCUGAUGAAUGGUCCAUUAUACUCGAAACAAACAUAAUUUUAAAUGAUUAUUUCAUUCACCCACCACAAUAAUUACAUUUUCAAGUUACAUCAUUCUGGUUUUCUCAGAACCCAGUACCAUAAAUUUGGAGGAAAAGCAGGAUUUUGACCAGGAUGUGGACGGAAUCAAACAACAGACUGGAGCUACUGAGGUCACUCUAAAAGCUCAGAAUAUGAAUGAUAAAGUUCCCGUGUGUGACCCACUCAAAUACAUCCUUCAUCUUCUCUACCCUGCUGCCUGGAGAUCCCAUGACCACCCUCAGCUGCACAGACCCUGAUAGAGACCCCCUAACUGUCACCAUCACCAAUGAUAACAUCAUCAGCUCUAUUUUGACUCCCAACAGCAGAACUUCCGCUGUUAUACAGCAAUGUUCUCAAAAGUGCUGUUGUGCACGGUUUCCAAAACUUCUUCUCACUUUCAUCUCCAUUGAGCUGUGGAUAUAUCAAAUAUGAAUGCUUAGCAAUAGCUGACACUCGCUAUCUCUUCUAGUACAGAUGCAUGUAUCCGAGUGGAUGUGUCUGUUCUCUCCAGACAAGGGCACCACAGGUAUAACGGUGUUGAGUGAGUUAUGGGAUUCUGUGGUCAGUAUAACACACCGGUGUUGCCAUACAAAAUCUUUGUGUUUUCAAAUUUCUUUAGGGGCCAUUUACACAGAAUGGAUUUUUGAGUUUACAUGAGACACUAAAAACAUAUAUGUAGUGUACGUUUGCAUUGAAAAGCAAUGGAAAGAAGCACAGUGGAAGGCAAAAAUGUGGUUAUGUGUGAACAGUCCCUUAGGACAGGGGUCACCAGACUCAGACCUGGAGGGCCAGGGUCCUGCAGAGUUUAGCUCCAGCCCAUUAAACACUCCUGAAGCAGCUAAUCAAGGUCUAGGUGCUCAGUUCUGCAGGAAAUUCAAAUGCAUUCAGUUACAUUACAUAAAGUAACUGAACAAGUUACACUACUCAUUACAUUUCAGAUAGGGUAAGUUGUAAUCUGUAACCCAUUACAUAGAGCUCACCAGUGCUAUAUUCAUUAUAAAAAAAUAAAAACAUUAUGUUGCUUACAAAAAAUGUUUAGUCGUGUAAUGCAGAGCUCAAUUUAUUAAACAAAUAAUGAGUUUGUCAUGUUUUUGUUUCGGUGAAGAAACAUCAACAGCAUCAGGUGAGAAUGUCAAAGUGCGACAUAAAGUACUGCUAGGUCUGUUUAUGAGAUGUAAGAUUAUGUAGCCUAGAUUUAGUUGUAAAACUUUAACUGUAUAAGCUCAUUGAAGUAUAAUUAAUCACUUCACAAAUCAGUCACUAGAUGGCGGUGUCAGUCUGUCCAAAAAAGAAAACCUCUUAACUCUCCAAACCCUAAUUUACUUCAGAACUUAAAGAAUAUUUCAUUGUACGGGUUUAAUGGAAAAAGCCGAAGACCCAGGUUAGACGUUUACAAAUGAAUUUAAUUAUAAUUUCGAGAAGCAUUUGUUCUGAAGUGGUGAUUGAUUGACCAGAGAUGAUCUUCUGAUGUCUUUCAGCAGGACGGAGUUACUUGUUUAAUCCAGCAACAGGGGAGCAUCGUCGGCUGGAAGCUCGUCUUCCUGCGAUUUGAUCUCAGAAAAGAAAUUAAUCUUAAUGUUCUUAAUUAAUUAAGUUAGUUAAUGUUCUUACAGACCUCUCCAGGUAAUGGAUAUCCAAAAUCAGCCAGAGUACAAUACGCUAAAAUAAGAAAAUGUUCAAGUUGAUGCCCUACAGCAAGCCCUUAAAUCCGUAUUUAAUUACUGCGACUGGAUAGCAAAUUAAUUAUUCAGUCACUGAUGUGAACUUAUUAACCUCCAAAAAAAAGUACACUUGAAAUAAAAACCACAGCUGGCAGAGUUUUAUCUAGUGAAUGAACUUUUAUUUAAAUUAAACAUUAUAUAGGACUUUGAAAAGAAGUUUAAUCUUUACCAAAAUAAAAGAAAAGAAACAAAAGCACUACCCUUUUUUAUCAUUUAGAUUUCCAUUAUUAUUACUAUUUAUUCUUACAUGUGAAAAUUCUGGAGAAGAAAUGUUUACGUACAGUAGGACAACUUGGGGGAAAAUAAAGUCCAUUGUAAACGGAAGUCAAGGCACAAACA